AGAACGAACGCUGGCGGCAGGCCUAAUACAUGCAAGUCGAACGCACUCUUCGGAGUGAGUGGCAGACGGGUGAGUAACGCGUGGGAACCUUCCCAAUGGUACGGAAUAACUCCGGGAAACCGGUGCUAAUACCGUAUAAGCCCUUCGGGGGAAAGAUUUAUCGCCAUUGGAUGGGCCCGCGUCGGAUUAGCUAGUUGGUAAGGUAAUGGCUUACCAAGGCUACGAUCCGUAGCUGGUCUGAGAGGAUGAUCAGCCACACUGGGACUGAGACACGGCCCAGACUCCUACGGGAGGCAGCAGUAGGGAAUCUUGCGCAAUGGGCGAAAGCCUGACGCAGCAACGCCGCGUGGGGGAUGAAGGCUCUCGGGUUGUAAACCCCUUUCAGUAGGGACGAAUCAAGACGGUACCUACAGAAGAAGCUCCGGCUAACUACGUGCCAGCAGCCGC
rnacentral:rRNA from 1 species